rnacentral:snRNA from 1 species
AUAGCCAAAGAGACUGCCU